GACGAACGCUGGCGGCGUGCUUAACACAUGCAAGUCGAACGGAAAGGCCCUGCUUUUGUGGGGUGCUCGAGUGGCGAACGGGUGAGUAACACGUGAGUAACCUGCCCUUGACCUUGGGAUAACUUCAGGAAACUGGGGCUAAUACCGGAUAGGAGCUCCUGCUGCAUGGUGGGGGUUGGAAAGUUUCGGCGGUUGGGGAUGGACUCGCGGCUUAUCAGCUUGUUGGUGGGGUAGUGGCUUACCAAGGCUUUGACGGGUAGCCGGCCUGAGAGGGUGACCGGCCACAUUGGGACUGAGAUACGGCCCAGACUCCUACGGGGGGCAGCAGUGGGGAAUAUUGCACAAUGGGCGGAAGCCUGAUGCAGCAACGCCGCGUGCGGGAUGACGGCCUUCGGGUUGUAAACCGCUUUCGCCUGUGACGAAGCGUGAGUGACGGUAAUGGGUAAAGAAGCACCGGCUAACUACGUG
rnacentral:rRNA from 1 species